CCUUUGGGCGUGCCCUAUACAUGCAAGUCGAGCGAACGGAUAAGGAGCUUGCUCCUUUGAAGUUAGCGGCGGACGGGUGAGUAACACGUGGGUAACCUACCUAUAAGACUGGAAUAACUUCGGGAAACCGGAGCUAAUGCCGGAUAACAUAUAGAACCGCAUGGUUCUAUAGUGAAAGAUGGUUUUGCUAUCACUUAUAGAUGGACCCGCGCCGUAUUAGCUAGUUGGUAAGGUAAUGGCUUACCAAGGCGACGAUACGUAGCCGACCUGAGAGGGUGAUCGGCCACACUGGAACUGAGACACGGUCCAGACUCCUACGGGAGGCAGCAGUAGGGAAUCUUCCGCAAUGGGCGAAAGCCUGACGGAGCAACGCCGCGUGAGUGAUGAAGGUUUUCGGAUCGUAAAACUCUGUUAUUAGGGAAGAACAAAUGCGUAAGUAACUGUGCGCAUCUUGACGGUACCUAAUCAGAAAGCCACGGCUAACUACGUGCCAGCAGCCGCGGUAAUACGUAGGUGGCAAGCGUUAUCCGGAAUUAUUGGGCGUAAAGCGCGCGUAGGCGGUUUCUUAAGUCUGAUGUGAAAGCCCACGGCUCAACCGUGGAGGGUCAUUGGAAACUGGGAAACUUGAGUGCAGAAGAGGAAAGUGGAAUUCCAUGUGUAGCGGUGAAAUGCGCAGAGAUAUGGAGGAACACCAGUGGCGAAGGCGACUUUCUGGUCUGUAACUGACGCUGAUGUGCGAAAGCGUGGGGAUCAAACAGGAUUAGAUACCCUGGUAGUCCACGCCGUAAACGAUGAGUGCU
rnacentral:rRNA from 1 species